UUAUAGUGUCCAAAGUUGGUAUAUGCCAAGAGAGAUGCCACCACUUCUUUACUUAUUUAAUGCUUCCAGUUCUUCACUAAAGUUCAUGCAGAUCCAAAUGAUCUUGCUUUUAGGGAAACUAACCAUAAGAGCAGGUUGUAAAAUCCAACAAGUUCGAUGAUCCAUAUGAAUAAUUCAAAACGUGUUACUAACACCAAAUUUUGAAGUACUCCA
rnacentral:lncRNA from 1 species